AUUGAACGCUGGCGGCAUGCCUUACACAUGCAAGUCGAACGGCAGCACGGGAGCAAUCCUGGUGGCGAGUGGCGAACGGGUGAGUAAUAUAUCGGAACGUGCCCAGUCGUGGGGGAUAACGUAGCGAAAGCUACGCUAAUACCGCAUACGAUCUAUGGAUGAAAGCGGGGGAUCGCAAGACCUCGCGCGAUUGGAGCGGCCGAUAUCAGAUUAGGUAGUUGGUGGGGUAAAAGCCUACCAAGCCUUCGAUCUGUAGCUGGUCUGAGAGGACGACCAGCCACACUGGAACUGAGACACGGUCCAGACUCCUACGGGAGGCAGCAGUGGGGAAUUUUGGACAAUGGGCGCAAGCCUGAUCCAGCCAUGCCGCGUGAGUGAAGAAGGCC
rnacentral:rRNA from 1 species